AUUGAACGCUGGCGGCAGGCCUAACACAUGCAAGUCGAGCGGAGCGGCGGACGGGUGGGUAAUGCCUAGGAAUCUGCCUGGUAGUGGGGGAUAAAGUCCGGAAACGGGCGCUAAUACCGCAUCCUAUCAGAUGAGCCUAGGUAUGAUUGGCUAGUUGGUAGGGUAAAGGCCUACCAAGGCGACGAUCCGUAACAGGUCUGAGAGGAUGAUCAGUCACACUGGAACUGAGACACGGUCAAGACUCCUACGGGAGGCAGCAGUGGGGAAUAUUGGACAAUGAGCGAAAGCCUGAUCCAGCCAUGCCGCGGGUGUGAAGAAGGUCUUCGGAUUGUAAAGCACUUUAAGUUGGGAGGCGGUACCAACAGAAAAAGCACCGGCUAACUUCGUGCCAGCAGCCGCGGUAAUAC
rnacentral:rRNA from 1 species